GGAGUGGUAGUUCAGUUGGUUAGAAUACCGGCCUGUCACGCCGGGGGUCGCGGGUUCAAGUCCCGUCCACUCCGCCA
rnacentral:tRNA from 4 species